CGCGCGUGUGUGUGCGCGCUCUGAGAAAAGCAGCUCAUCAUCUCAGGGGGACCGCAGAGAGAGAGAGAGAGAGAGAGAGAGAGAAAAAGAGAGAGAUCCAGAAUAAUCAAUGCUGAAAUAAAGCAGCCGGAAUCGCAGUUUCUCCGGUGCAGCUCGAGCAGACCCGGUGUGUCGCGAUGGGGAACCGGGGGAUGGAGGACCUGAUCCCGCUGGUCAACCGAAUGCAGGAUGCGUUCGCCGCCAUCGGACAGAACGCGAACCUGGACCUGCCGCAGAUCGCGGUGGUGGGCGGACAGAGCGCCGGGAAAAGCUCCGUGCUCGAGAACUUCGUGGGGAAGGACUUCCUGCCACGCGGCUCUGGGAUCGUCACCCGCCGACCCCUCGUCCUGCAGCUCAUCAACUGCCCCACAGAAUAUGCCGAGUUCCUCCACUGUAAGGGGAAGAAGUUCACAGACUUCGAUGAGGUGCGUCAGGAGAUCGAGGCGGAGACGGAUAGAGUCACAGGACAGAAUAAAGGCAUUUCUCCCGUGCCCAUCAACCUGCGCGUCUACUCCCCAAACGUGCUGAACCUGACUCUGGUGGAUCUGCCGGGGAUGACUAAAGUGCCGGUGGGAGAUCAGCCCGCAGACAUCGAGCAUCAGAUCAGAGAAAUGCUGAUGCAGUUUGUGACCAAAGACAACUGUCUGCUGCUGGCCGUGUCGCCCGCCAACUCUGACCUGGCCAACUCUGACGCCCUGAAGAUCGCCAAAGAAGUCGACCCGCAGGGUCUGAGGACGAUCGGUGUGAUCACUAAACUGGAUCUGAUGGAUGAAGGGACUGAUGCUCGUGAUAUCCUGGAGAACAAGCUGCUGCCGCUGCGGAGAGGUUACAUCGGUGUGGUGAACCGCAGUCAGAAAGACAUCGACGGGAAGAAGGAUAUAAACGCAGCUAUGGCGGCGGAGAGGAAGUUUUUCCUGUCUCAUCCCGGUUACAGACACCUGGCCGACCGCAUGGGAACGCCGUUCCUGCAGAAAACACUCAACCAGCAACUGACCAAUCACAUCCGAGACACGCUCCCUGCGCUGCGCACCAAACUGCAGAGCCAGCUGCUGUCCAUCGAGAAGGAAGUGGAGGAAUACAAGAACUUCCGUCCAGACGAUCCGUCCCGGAAGACCAAAGCCCUGCUGCAGAUGGUGCAGCAGUUCUCGGUGGACUUCGAGAAGCGCAUCGAGGGCUCUGGAGAUCAGAUAGACACGUAUGAGUUGUCUGGAGGAGCCAGAAUCAAUCGUAUCUUCCACGAGCGCUUCCCGUUCGAGCUGGUGAAGAUGGAGUUCAAUGAGAAGGAGCUGCGGAAGGAGAUCAGCUACGCCAUCAAGAACAUCCACGGCAUCAGAACUGGGCUCUUCACGCCGGACAUGGCCUUUGAGACCAUUGUGAAAAGGCAGAUUGGGAAGAUUAAAGAGCCGUGCCAGAAAUGUGUGGACAUGGUCAUUUCUGAGCUUGUCAAUACUGUUAGACAGUGUACCAAGAAGCUGGCCCAGUAUCCCAUGCUAAGAGAAGAGAUGGAGCGGAUCGUCACGCAGCACAUCCGCGAUCGCGAGAGCCGCACUAAACAACAGGUGCUGCUGCUGAUCGACAUCGAGCUGGCGUACAUGAACACCAACCACGAAGACUUCAUCGGGUUUGCCAAUGCUCAACAGAGAAGCAGUCAGAUGAACAAGAAGAAAGCGGCUGGUAAUCAGGAUGAAAUCAUGGUGAUCAGGAAGGGCUGGCUGACCAUCAAUAACAUUGGCAUCAUGAAGGGCGGCGCUAAAGAGUACUGGUUUGUCCUGACGGCCGAAUCUCUGUCCUGGUACAAGGAUGACGAGGAGAAAGAGAAGAAGUACAUGCUGCAGGUGGACAAUCUGAAGUUCAGAGACGUGGAGAAGGGCUUCAUGUCCAGCAAACACAUCUUUGCCCUGUUCAACACUGAGCAAAGGAACGUGUAUAAGGACUACCGUCAGCUGGAGCUGGCCUGUGAGACUCAGGAGGAUGUGGACGGGUGGAAAGCGUCGUUCCUGCGUGCUGGUGUCUAUCCUGAGCGCGUGGUGGAGAAGGAAAAGAGCGACGCUGGAGACGAGAACGGGUCGGACAACUUCAUGCACUCCAUGGACCCUCAGCUGGAGAGGCAGGUGGAGACCAUCCGAAACCUGGUGGACUCCUACAUGAGCAUCGUCAACAAGACUGUACGAGACCUGAUGCCCAAGACCAUCAUGCAUCUGAUGAUUAAUAAUACGAAGGAGUUCAUCAAUGCGGAGCUGCUGGCUCAGCUGUACUCGUGUGGAGAUCAGAACACGCUGAUGGAGGAGUCGGCCGAACAAGCGCAGCGGCGAGACGAGAUGCUACGCAUGUACCACGCGCUCAGAGAAGCACUGAACAUCAUCGGGGACAUCAGCACCACCACCAUCUCCACCUCUCUGCCUCCACCUGUGGACGACUCCUGGCUCCAGGUGCAGCGCAGCGGCUCGGGAGGAAGGUCUCCGGCGGCCAGCCCGACUCCUCAGAGAAGGGCCCCUCCUCCGGGGCCUCCAGCACGUCCAGGUUCUCGUGGCUCCGCCCCAGGGCCCCCUGCAGCCGGUGGGCCACCGGUUCCCUCUCGCCCGGGAGCCUCUCCGGACCCCUUCGGCGGACCCCCCCCUCAGGUCCCGUCCCGGCCUAACCGUGCUCCACCCGGCGUGCCCAGCCGUGGAAUGUGAGACUCUCCCGCUGGAGUAAGUGCAGUGGUGUGGAAUUACAAUCAGUGACCAAUGAGGACUAACGCUUCUGUGGUCCCUGAGCUCACGGGCCAGAAGACGACACCAGACUCCCCAACGGCCGGUCAAACACAGGUGACCCUUCUCGCCCCGAGAGCCCCUUUACUCCACGCGACCCCUAGCAUCAUUUCUUCUUCUGUUUUCCCCACAACCCGAACAUGGACACAAGCAAAGGAACAACUUUCAGAUGUUUCCUGCAUCCCCGGUUUGAGAAAUGAGUUUCUCUCUUUGGUUAAACCUCCUUCAAGCUCAUUGUGGAGAUCCAGUAUCACAAACAUCAGACCUUCUAGAAACUCCUCACAUUGUGACCCUACAAAGGGAUCAUCUUUCCACACCUUUAUGAGUUUCUUUCUUCUGUGGAACACUAUAAAUUAAAUGUUUUGAAGAACUAAAUGGUCUCCAGGACCAUUGACUUCCAUUGUAGGGACAAACAGUCCUGUUGGAAGUCAAUGGAACUCAAAACUGUUUGGUUCCCAACAUUCUAUAAAAAUAUUGAAAUAUUGAAGUUGUUUAUUCCCCACACUGCAAAAA